GUCUGCGUGGAGCCGACCUUGAAAUACCACCCUUUAAUGUUUGAUGUUCUAACGUGGAUCCGUAAUCCGGGUUGCGGACAGUGUCUGGUGGGUAGUUUGACUGGGGCGGUCUCCUCCUAAAGAGUAACGGAGGAGCACGAAGGUUGGCUAAUCCUGGUCGGACAUCAGGAGGUUAGUGCAAUGGCAUAAGCCAGCUUGACUGCGAGCGUGACGGCGCGAGCAGGUGCGAAAGCAGGUCAUAGUGAUCCGGUGGUUCUGAAUGGAAGGGCCAUCGCUCAACGGAUAAAAGGUACUCCGGGGAUAACAGGCUGAUACCGCCCAAGAGUUCAUAUCGACGGCGGUGUUUGGCACCUCGAUGUCGGCUCAUCACAUCCUGGGGCUGAAGUAGGUCCCAAGGGUAUGGCUGUUCGCCAUUUAAAGUGGUACGCGAGCUGGGUUUAGAACGUCGUGAGACAGUUCGGUCCCUAUCUGCCGUGGGCGCUGGAGAACUGAGGGGGGCUGCUCCUAGUACGAGAGGACCGGAGUGGACGCAUCACUGGUGUUCGGGUUGUCAUGCCAAUGGCACUGCCCGGUAGCUAAAUGCGGAAGAGAUAAGUGCUGAAAGCAUCUAAGCACGAAACUUGCCCCGAGAUGAGUUCUCCCUGAGACUUAGAGUCUCCUGAAGGAACGUUGAAGACGACGACGUUGAUAGGCCGGGUGUGUAAGCGCAGCGAUGCGUUGAGCUAACCGGUACUAAUGAACCGUGAGGCUUAACCUUACAACGCCGAAG
rnacentral:rRNA from 1 species